CAAACGACUCUYGGCAACGGAUAUCUCGGCUCUCGCAUCGAUGAAGAACGUAGCGAAAUGCGAUACUUGGUGUGAAUUGCAGAAUCCCGUGAACCAUCGAGUUUUUGAACGCAAGUUGCGCCCGAAGCCMCUAGGCCGAGGGCMCGCCUGCCUGGGCGUCACGCA
rnacentral:rRNA from 1 species